UUUUGUUUUUUUAAUUGGUGGCUGCUUACAAGCCAGUAAAUAACCUCAAUCCGGUCUUUUCGUGUCUGAGGUUUAGAACAUAAUCUAUAAUCGAUUUUAGUUAAUGACGGACAAUCCGAAAAGGCUUGGGCUUACGUCUCGUACUUAAAGGGAAAAAAAAAGAGAGAAAAUUUUAAGUCAGUUCAUUAGCCAAACGAAGAGGUGUUAAAAAGCUGUUACUGAAAACGCCGAAAGGGUUGUGAUAGAAACCAGGAGAAUAUUGAAAGUUGUGAAACUCGAAGAGCUUGUAAAUCCAGCAGUUUCUGGUGCUGGUGUUUUGCUAGCAACUUCAUCGCAAGGCAAGGGAUUUAACUGGACAUGGAGUUGGCUUUGAUUUUACCAGUCAAAGUGUGCUCAGUGAUGUUGCCUUUAAUAUCAAAACCGUCGCCACCACCGGCCAAAAAGCUAGGCAUCGCCACGUCAUAGAUUUCCUAAUGUUAACCUUGGGCUGGACCGGGCUGUAGGCUGGAAUACGACAAUUGUUACAUCGUGCCAACAGUUCUACUACUCUAUCGCCUGUAGGUCUAGCAAUGUCGUACGAAACUUGGAGACCUGUGGAUCAUUGCUCCAUAGCAAAACCUUAAAAGAAUUCGUGACUAAAAAAAACCAUUUACCAGAAACCUGCAGAAAUCCACCGAAGGGAUCCAGAGCUGAUGGGUCGUAAUCAUGCACCGUAAACUCGAAAAUAUUCUUCAACGUUUCACCACUGAUUUUUACUAUGUCCACUGUAUUGCUGAAAGGUGCGACUGAAAGAAGAUCACCGUACGUGAUGGAUCCUACAAGACACAAUCCCAUUGUAUAUUUAGAAAAGUGCUUCGGAUUAAAUGAAUUCACCAUUUUGGGAUCGUUCGUCGAUGGAUGCCCUGACUCCACCGCCAUUGACGAGAGCGAUAGCCACUUUACUCCAUUGACCCUCGCCUGCAAAUUUGCAUACCAAAUCAACGUAGGCAUCAGCAAUGAAAUUUCCAAGAUUGCAUUCAACCAUACGACAGGCCAGACGAUUACCAUCUAAGAAGACGAGCGUUUUUCCAACUUCUUUCUCUGACAAAGCUUCGACUUCUUUUCGAAAUGGGAUCAGUUCCUGCAGGACGUGUGGAUCUGCAUCGUAAAGUUAACGAUGACGAACGCACUAUUUUUUACGACAAAUAGAAUUUAUAACUACAAUAGUACCUCGAGGUAUGCUCUUAUCCAGGAGAAUCGGGAGGCCAGCAGUGGCGAUCACAUCUCCUUCGUCGUUAAAAGUCACCAUCAAGUUGCCCAGAUAUUUACCGAAGGCAAAUGCCUGUACGACGGGCACUUCCUUACCAGAUGGUUGCUUUACCAUAGUGGGAUAUGGACCUUGAGGAAUUUCGAUUGACGGAGCUGGACCUGUACGUUAAGUGGAUUCGAGUACAUUAACAGCUUACCGUUCCAGAGAAAUGUAUUGGUGUGACCGCCUACCACCACGUCGAUAUCUGGCACCUGUUCAGCGAUUUCCAUAUCUUUGAGAUAACCCGCGUGACCGACUGCAAUUAGAAUAUUGACUCCAUCAUUUUUAAGACGCGCUGCUUCCUCUCGAACGCCUUGGACUUCGUCAAACACUUUAACCCCGUCCAAGAUCAUCAUCUUGUUAGGGAGAAGUUUCUUACCGAUGUUUCAACCGUCAGAAAACCAAUGAUGCCUACCCUGCGUCCACCUACUUCGACGACUACUGAUUUCGGAAUUUUACCGUGAAGCGAAGAGUUCCAGGAAGGAAGUUCAGUCAGAGUUUGCAAUUUAAAGAAGGGAUAUUUUUACCGGGUGAUUGGCUGCAUUCACGAACGGUGCCAGCCCCGCCACGCCAUCAUCGAAUUCGUGGUUGCCAAGAGACUAUUUGGCAUAAAGGGACGAGAAAAGAAAAACUAUGUGCUGCCAGGCUUUCCGACGGAUGUUUACAAACAGGGCGUUUCCCCGUUCGUCAUUGUUUAAACCAGGAAAACGCGCUACAUCAAUAAUUAAGAAACAAAUUGAUCAACGUGAGUGUUAACACACGGGCCGUUAACGCGCUGCAACGUGGGCGGGAAAAAUGUCGGUGAUGAUCACGCAGAAAACGCUGUUUCUUUCUUCGUUAAAAAGCAGAUAACAAGGAUUCUAACAACUCACAUUGUGCAAAUCACUGGAAUAGAAAGUGGUAGUUAAGAAGAAUGACGGACGUUUUCCAUUGUCCUUUUCAACAUAGUCUACCUAGAUAAACCUAAUAACGACAGUGACUAGAGAAGGAAAAGGAUUGUUUGGCUUCUUAGCCAAACUACUUUGCUACAGAACCAUCUGUCUUUAGAAAGCGAAACGAAGGGGGGAAACGUAAAUAACUCACUGUGGCCGUUAAGUUGAGCAGGUUACCAAAGUGGCUGACGGCCUUCCAUUUGUGGAUGGUGUACCAGCUGGCGGCGACGACCAAAUGCGUUUUCAGAAAAAGUAGUGCCAAUCAGAAGUAGCAAAGCAGGCAAGGCUAUGUAAAAAUUGCACAGGAUUUGUUCUCACAUGGUGCCUUGGAAGAAAUCACCGCCAUUCAAAAAUAUGGUGUCCGGAUGCUGCUCACGAAUUUUUCGCGAUUGGUGGACCAGACGGGCAUACCCACCGAAGCAUUUACCAUUCUCCGAGUCUCGGUGUUUGCACGCCCCGCCGAGUUGGUUGGCCUCCUCGAAACGGCAAUGGAUGUCGUUCGUGUGUAAGAUAGUCAAAUUAAACGAAGCCGAUGCCUGCGCGACAACGACAGAUGCACAAAACAGACCCAACAGCUGAAACCACAUGAGGACGAUAUUACGUGUCGAACAGUCCCGUAUAUUCUACACGACUGUGGACAAAUUGAAAUGCUCAGCGCUAUAAUGCACGCAAAGCUGGGAAAAGGCGUCGCCACAAGCUGUCUACGAUUUUUCGGAGAUUAAUGCCGAAGGAUGUAACCAACAAGAGUCAUGAAGAGUGAAUGAAUUUCUCUUGUCAUUUGAUAGCACCCGCCUCAUGGAUUUUGCUAACGAAAGCGCGCGUUGUGGGAUAGCCUGUAGUUCUCGUUGACGCCGGACUUUGUAACUGCAGUAUUAUAGUGAUGCCCUCUCACGUGUUAUGGUUUCAUGGUGAAAUUCUACAGCUUACCAUUGAAGAUAUCCUGCAACCGUAUUUGUUUUUGAAAUAGGAGAUAGAAAGAGAUAUUGCACUUUCGAGAAAGCUAUCUACCCGGUGUGUCAGUUGAGGAAAUGUCUCUCUCUACCGAGGUUUACGCAAAAAAUCUCCAGCGAUACAAAGUUCCAUAAUAAUUUUGUUAUGUUUGAUCUCUCGAUAAAUGAUUCUAACUAUU